CCUUUAUAUUUAAUCUACCCUUCACUCUCUUCCUAUGCAUAGCGCAAUUCUCAUCAAUUUCGUCACGCAUUGACCCAAGAAAAUGGCAGGGGAGAGGGACAAGAAUGAGAAUGAAUUUACUGACAUAGGGCAAUCUUCACAUCUUGUUGGGUAUGACGUUGGACGCCCCUUCCACAUGGAUCAUAUACCCAACCAUAUCCACAAGGAUAUCCACCUCAGGGAUAUCCCCAACAUGGGUAUCCUCUACAAGCAUAUCCACCGGCUGGCUAUCCUUUUCCUGGUGGAUACCCACCAGCUGGUUAUCCUCCUCCGACUGGAUACCCAUCAGGUAGUUAUCCUCCAGCAGCAUACCCUCCAGCUGCUUAUCAUUCCAUCAGCUCCGCCUUAUCCGGGUCCAUUAGCUGCACAUUAAUUCUGGACAUAGAUCUGGUAUGGGAGCAAUGUUAGCUGGUGGCGCCGCUGCUGCUUAUGGGGCUCACCAUUUGGUCUAUGGUGCUCAUCAUUUUGGGCAUGGAAAAUUCACGCAUAGCAAGUUUAAGCAUGGGAAGUUUGGAAAGCGGUGGAAGCAUGGCAUGUUUGGGAAGCACAAAGGCUUUGGAUUCAAGCAUGGCUUAUUUGUUUGGAUUCAAGAGAUGGAAGUAAUAGUUUCAGCGUGCAAAGCUCAUCUAUCUGGUUUUAUAAGUAUGGUUUUGUUCUUUUAAUUUACAUGAUGUGAGUGUUAUUGAUGACUGAUUCAAUCAUGUACUACAGGUUCUAAUUUAUAGUUGUUGUUAAUACUUCUUAAAUUAAAAAUGUUUUUAAUUUAAUACAUUUCAAUUAUAUAUUAAAAUAUCCUACCUUAAAUCCUUAA